rnacentral:lncRNA from 1 species
AUUUCAGGUUUAGUAAAUGUAGCCAUGUGUUUACCAAAUGCAACUAUCACAUACUCAUGAAAUAGUGAAGAAAAUUCAUUUCAGGUUGAGUAAUCAAGUAAUGGUUCAAUCCUUUUUUUAAAGUUUUAUCAUCAAGUAACAUAGACUAACCUGAAUGGCUUGAGCCCUCAACUCCUUGGUCAAAACAAUGGGCAUAAAUCACUGAAAUUCCUAAAUGGCUUGAGCCCUAUUAUCCAUACCUUUUGGUUUCAGUCCAUGCCUUUCAGUCAACACAUGUAGUCUAGUUAAAAGCUAUAUCCUCCUGUAAACCAAUAUUAAAAUAAAAAUUAAAUCAUGAUUAAUAUAAGAGAUUAAGAAAACAUAAAAUACGCAAUUAAGGAGAUUAAUUGAAACAUGUAUUCUUGUAACAAAUAGUUGAAAUUGGAUUAGAAUAAUGCUAACAAAAUACGCAACUCAAGACUAUGCUUUC